rnacentral:tRNA from 1 species
CGCUUACACCGAAGAAAUAUCUGUUAAAUUCGGAUCAUUUUGAG